rnacentral:tRNA from 1 species
AGGCCCGUAGUCUAGUGUUAGGUCACUUAGACCGAACGGAGAUCCAGGAUAUGAUGCUGCCCUGCGGAGGCAGAUAUAGGGGUUCAAACGGUGCCAACGCGGCGUCUGAAUUUCCCCUCGGGCCCG